AUGGCCAAAUCUUGCAAGGGAUUGGCCAUGGAGCUGGUGAAGUGUCUCAGUGAAUCUGAUUGUGUUAAGGUUGAGAAUAGAUCCUACAGGGAGUGUGCUGGAGAAAAGUGUCCAUCAAUAUCAAAUAAUGAGUUAACCACUUAUCUUGGAGAGAAGUUAGAGCAUAACAUGGAGAUAAAUGUUCGCAAGUGGUGGAAAGUAAAUUUUGGUCGUUAUCCCAUCCUUGCAAACAUUGCAAGAGACGUGCUUGCUAUACCAAUAAGCACAGUGGCGUCUGAAGCCUGA